rnacentral:rRNA from 1 species
UACGUAGGUGGCGAGCGUUGUCCGGAUUUACUGGGCGUAAAGGGAGCGUAGGCGGACUUUUAAGUGAGAUGUGAAAUACCUGGGCCUAACUUGGGUGCUGCAUUUCAAACUGGAAGUCUAGAGUGCAGGAGAGGAGAAUGGAAUUCCUAGUGUAGCGGUGAAAUGCGUAGAGAUUAGGAAGAACACCAGUGGCGAAGGCGAUUCUCUGGACUGUAACUGAUGCUGAGGCUCGAAAGCGUGGGGAGCAAACAGGAUUAGAUA